GUCCCUGUAGCGCAAUGGAUAGCGCGUUGGACCCCUAACCCAAAGGCCGUGGGUUCGAAUCCCACCUGAGAUG
rnacentral:tRNA from 1 species